UUAAACAAGUUGUGAAGAUGAUGAAACUUCCAGAAUUCUACAGUAAGCUUGAAGAUGAUUUCACGUUAUGCAAACCUCUGAAACUUUACUCAGCAAUGGACAAAGCCUUUUUUCUAGAACGUUUGAUUUUUCCUGUUAAGACUGCUGUUCAGCUUAAUAAGAAUAAAAAGAACUAUAAGGGAGAACAGGUUUUUAUCAGCAUGGAUGACCUUUGUGACAUGAUGGCUAACACCUCACUGGGU